ensembl:ncRNA C24A1.5 ncRNA
CAACAGGGGAGUGCGGCAAUGAUUUAUUCCGGCAAAUGGGCAAAUUGACGGAGUUGAAAUUUCCAAUUUUUGCCGAUUUGCCGAAUAUGCCGGAAAAACGGCAAAUGCGGAAAAUUUUAGACAAAUUAGGGUUCUGCACUGUUUUUUUUG